rnacentral:rRNA from 1 species
AUACGGAGGGUGCGAGCGUUAAUCGGAAUUACUGGGCGUAAAGCGUGCGUAGGCGGUUUGCUAAGUCAGAUUUGAAAGCCCCGGGCUUAACCUGGGAACUGCAUUUGAUACUGGCAGACUAGAGUAUGAUAGAGGGGGGUAGAAUUCCUGGUGUAGCGGUGAAAUGCGUAGAUAUCAGGAGGAAUACCAGUGGCGAAGGCGGCCCCCUGGAUCAAUUCUGACGCUGAGGUACGAAAGCGUGGGGAGCGAACAGGAUUAGAAACCCUAGUAGUCC